rnacentral:rRNA from 1 species
CUACACAUGCAGUCGAGCGGGGAGGUUGCUUCGGUAACUGAGCUAGCGGCGGACGGGUGAGUAAUGCUUAGGAAUCUGCCUAUUAGUGGGGGACAACAUUCCGAAAGGGAUGCUAAUACCGCAUACGUCCUACGGGAGAAAGCAGGGGAUCAUUUGACCUUGCGCUAAUAGAUGAGCCUAAGUCGGAUUAGCUAGUUGGUGGGGUAAAGGCCUACCAAGGCGACGAUCUGUAGCGGGUCUGAGAGGAUGAUCCGCCACACUGGGACUGAGACACGGCCCAGACUCCUACGGGAGGCAGCAGUGGGGAAUAUUGGACAAUGGGGGGAACCCUGAUCCAGCCAUGCCGCGUGUGUGAAGAAGGCCUUUUGGUUGUAAAGCACUUUAAGCGAGGAGGAGGCUCUCUUGGUUAAUACCUGAGAAGAGUGGACGUUACUCGCAGAAUAAGCACCGGCUAACUCUGUGCCAGCAGCCGCGGUAAUACAGAGGGUGCGAGCGUUAAUCGGAUUUACUGGGCGUAAAGCGCGCGUAGGUGGCUAAUUAAGUCAAAUGUGAAAUCCCCGAGCUUAAC